GAAGCCCACAGUUUUCCCACAACUGGGCUAUAUCAUCUUCAUAUUCUUUGCUACACUCGGCCACUAUACUCUACCCCUGCUUAUUAUGUUUGAAUUAUAUCCUCUACAGAUUCGAGGUUUACUGGGCGGCCUCUCCAUCUCAAUGCUCAAUGUGAUCGCCGCUGGUGCCAAUCAUGCUUACCCCAUGCUACGAGAUGGAAUAGGCUUUCCAUACACCAUUCUUUCAUUUGGACUUUGUUCAUUUAUCGGUGGAAUUUUCCUGUAUUUUUUCCUUCCUGAAACGAAAGACUUGACUCUACAAGAGAUAGAAGAGUACUACAAGGAACGUAUACCAACAUUGACAUCGCAAC